rnacentral:lncRNA from 1 species
CUGUCUGUCUGUCUCUGUCUGUCUCUCUGUCUCUGUCUGUCUGUCUCUCUCUCUCUCUGUCUCUCCCUCUCUCUGUCUCUCUCUCAGCUCACGACACCCUGGCAGCAUCCUCUCCUGGCCCCCAUUUCCCUCUCAGCCACCUUUACAUAACACUUUACAGUUUAGAAAAUGCUUCCACAACCACUUUACAGUUUAGAAAAUGCUGUCACACUCAUUUGCUUAUUUUAAUCACUUCCUGCUUGCCCAAAGCAAAUCAGACCCUCAGAUGACUUUCCGUGGAGUCCGGUCAUAAAAACACUCUGCUAACCUCUUCCUGGCCAAGAACCAGGCUGUCCGGAUGAGGAGGCCAUGGAGCGCUCCACCGGCACCAGCUGGAACCUGCUCGGUGCCUGCCGAUCCAUCAAGCUGUGGCUUCCAUGCUCCCUGAACUCAGGAACCAGAUGAGGGAGGGAGUGGAUCCAACAGUCAUUUAGAAGCCUGGCUUCUGCAGCCAAGCCCCUCCCCCCGCCCCCUGCUGCUCUGCGGGGACCUGAGGGCUUGUGGAAAGGCUGUGAGGAGAAUAGAUCCAGGGUGUAUCCCAAGUCAUUGCUCUCUUUCAGCCUAGCUGUGCGAUUUAAGUUUCAAACAGACAUGUUUACAAAGGAAGGCAAUCUUCCUGCAGGACUUGGCAGAGACGGGAUGGGGGAGGGGCUGUGUAAUCUUCUGGCCAUUCCCUUGGGAAACCAGGUUGCCAUGGUUAGCUCAAGGACACAAGAGGUGAUGAUUUAGGGCCUGGAACUUGGGUCCUGGUGCUGACUGCGGUGUCAAGUGCGUUUGCUCUUAAAGAGGCGUUCUGCCGUCUCUGGUCCUCAGAUGUGUCAUCUGUCAAAGGGGCUUCCAGGGACAGUACCAGAAAUGGAGUGUAUCAGAGUGUCCAGGAAGCCUUUCAGUAUCCCGGUGAAGGAGAAGCCACCAGAAGGAAGAAGACUCGAGCCUCCAGCUCGGGGAUAGAAAGCCUGGGGCCAGUUCUGUGGUGUUUGUGUGAAAUGAAUUGCCAUCGGCUCCCCAAACCAGCUGCUUCCAGUCAGUGCCUGUGGAUCAUGAUCAAAUGGAGAUAACCAUCUGGUCCAGGAUUAAAAAGAUAAAAAAACAAAUUAAGCAAUAAACGAAUCAGACAAAAUCA